GACGAACGCUGGCGGCGUGCUUAACACAUGCAAGUCGAACGGAAAGGCCCUGCUUUUGUGGGGUGCUCGAGUGGCGAACGGGUGAGUAACACGUGAGUAACCUGCCCUUGACUUUGGGAUAACUUCAGGAAACUGGGGCUAAUACCGGAUAGGAGCUCCUGCUGCAUGGUGGGGGUUGGAAAGUUUCGGCGGUUGGGGAUGGACUCGCGGCUUAUCAGCUUGUUGGUGGGGUAGUGGCUUACCAAGGCUUUGACGGGUAGCCGGCCUGAGAGGGUGACCGGCCACAUUGGGACUGAGAUGCGGCCCAGACUCCUACGGGAGGCAGCAGUGGGGAAUAUUGCACAAUGGGCGGAAGCCUGAUGCAGCAACGCCGCGGGCGGGAUGACGGCCUUCGGGUUGUAAACCGCUUUCGCCUGUGACGAAGCGUGAGUGACGGUAAUGGGUAAAGAAGCACCGGCUAACUACGUG
rnacentral:rRNA from 1 species